rnacentral:miRNA from 1 species
AUGGUCCCGAUGACCGGAAGGAAUCCCUUCCGGUCAUCAAUGGUCUCAAUGACUGGAAGGGAUUCCUUCCGGUCAUCAAAAUUCGGAUUGUCUCGAUGACUGGAAGGAAUCCCUUCUGGUCAUCAAUGGUCUUGAUGACCGGAAGGGAUUCCUUCCGGUCAUCAAU